rnacentral:rRNA from 1 species
UACGGAGGGUGCAAGCGUUAUCCGGAAUCAUUGGGUUUAAAGGGUCCGUAGGCGGGUAAUUAAGUCAGAGGUGAAAUCCCACAGCUUAACUGUGGAACUGCCUUAGAUACUGGUUAUCUUGAGUUUUAGUGAAGUAGAUAGAAUGUGUAGUGUAGCGGUGAAAUGCAUAGAUAUUACACAGAAUACCGAUUGCGAAGGCAGUCUACUAACUAACAACUGACGCUAAUGGACGAAAGCGUGGGGAGCGAACAGGAUUAGAUACCCCCGUA